rnacentral:rRNA from 1 species
GAUGAACGCUGGCGGCGUGCCUAAUACAUGCAAGUCGAGCGAACAGACGAGGAGCUUGCUCCUCUGACGUUAGCGGCGGACGGGUGAGUAACACGUGGAUAACCUACCUAUAAGACUGGGAUAACUUCGGGAAACCGGAGCUAAUACCGGAUAAUAUAUUGAACCGCAUGGUUCAAUAGUGAAAGACGGUUUUGCUGUCACUUAUAGAUGGAUCCGCGCCGCAUUAGCUAGUUGGUAAGGUAACGGCUUACCAAGGCAACGAUGCGUAGCCGACCUGAGAGGGUGAUCGACCACACUGGAACUGAGACACGGUCCAGACUCCUACGGGAGGCAGCAGUAGGGAAUCUUCCGCAAUGGGCGAAAGCCUGACGGAGCAACGCCGCGUGAGUGAUGAAGGUCUUCGGAUCGUAAAACGCUGUUAUUAGGGAAGAACAAAUGUGUAAGUAACUAUGCACGUCUUGACGGUACCUAAUCAGAAAGCCACGGCUAACUACGU